CAGUAGCCGCGGUAAUACGUAGGGUGCAAGCGUUAAUCGGAAUUACUGGGCGUAAAGCGUGCGCAGGCGGUUAUAUAAGACAGUUGUGAAAUCCCCGGGCUCAACCUGGGAACUGCAUCUGUGACUGUAUAGCUAGAGUACGGUAGAGGGGGAUGGAAUUCCGCGUGUAGCAGUGAAAUGCGUAGAUAUGCGGAGGAACACCGAUGGCGAAGGCAAUCCCCUGGACCUGUACUGACGCUCAUGCACGAAAGCGUGGGGAGCAAACAGGAUUAGAUACCCCCGUAGUCCCUGUCUCUUAUAA
rnacentral:rRNA from 1 species